rnacentral:rRNA from 1 species
CUACGGGGCGCACCAGUCGAGGAAAUUUUACAAUGCUCGAAAGAGUGAUAAAAUGAGUCAGAGUGUUUCUUUUAGAGAAACUUUUUUCUGUUGUAAAAAGACAGAAGAAUAAGGACUGGGAAAGACCGGUGCCAGCCGCCGCGGUAAUACCGGCGGUCCAAGUCGCAUCCACAUUUAUUGGGUCUAAAACAUUCGUAGCUUGUUUUAUAAGUCUCUUGUGAAAUCUGAUAUCUCAAAUAUCAGGCGUGCAAGAGAUACUAUAUUACUAGAGACCGGAAGGCGCAAAGAGUAUGGUUAAGGUAGCGGUAAAAUGUGUUAAUCUUAAUUAGACUAACAAUUAGCGAAGGCACUUUGCGAGUACGGAUCUGACGGUGAGGAAUGAAGGCUAGGGGCGCAAAAGGGAUUAGAUACCCCCGUAGUC